rnacentral:rRNA from 1 species
UACUUGGUGUUACUGCGAAGGGGGGACGGAGAAGGCUAUGUUGGCCGGGCGACGGUUGUCCCGGUUUAAGCGUGUAGGCUGGUUUUCCAGGCAAAUCCGGAAAAUCAAGGCUGAGGCGUGAUGACGAGGCACUACGGUGCUGAAGCAACAAAUGCCCUGCUUCCAGGAAAAGCCUCUAAGCAUCAGGUAACAUCAAAUCGUACCCCAAACCGACACAGGUGGUCAGGUAGAGAAUACCAAGGCGCUUGAGAGAACUCGGGUGAAGGAACUAGGCAAAAUGGUGCCGUAACUUCGGGAGAAGGCACGCUGAUAUGUAGGUGAGGUCCCUCGCGGAUGGAGCUGAAAUCAGUCGAAGAUACCAGCUGGCUGCAACUGUUUAUUAAAAACACAGCACUGUGCAAACACGAAAGUGGACGUAUACGGUGUGACGCCUGCCCGGUGCCGGAAGGUUAAUUGAUGGGGU